rnacentral:rRNA from 1 species
GAUGAACGCUAGCGGCAGGCUUAAUACAUGCAAGUCGUGGGGCAGCAUGAGUAGCAAUACUUGAUGGCGACCGGCAAACGGGUGAGGAACACGUACACAACCUUCCUUCAAGCGGGGAAUAGCCCAGAGAAAUUUGGAUUAAUACCCCAUAAUAUAUUUGAUAAGGCAUCUUAUUAAUAUUAAAGCUUCGGCACUUGAUGAUGGGUGUGCGGCUGAUUAGAUAGUUGGCGGGUAACGGCCCACCAAGUCUACGAUCAGUAGCUGAUGUGAGAGCAUGAUCAGCCACACGGGCACUGAGACACGGGCCCGACUCCUACGGGAGCAGCAGUAAGGAUAUUGGACAAUGGACGAAAGUCUGAUCCAGCCAUGCCGCGUGAAGGAUUAAGGUCC